rnacentral:rRNA from 1 species
GACGAACGCUGGCGGCGUGCCUAAUACAUGCAAGUAGGACGCAGUUGCGAACGGGUGAGUAACGCGUAGGUAACUACCUAUUAGAGGGGGAUAACUAUUGGCAACGAUAGCUAAUACCGCAUACUAGUAGAUGGACCUGCGUUGUAUUAGCUAGUAGGUAGGGUAAUGACCUACCUAGGCAACGAUACAUAGCCGACCUGAGAGGGGGAGCGGACAAACUGUGAGUGAGACACGGCCGAGACUCCUACGGUAGGCAGCAGUAGGGAAUCUGCGGCAAUGGGGGGAACCCUGACCGAGCAACGCGGAGUGAGUGAAGAAGGUUUUCGGAUCGUAAAGCUCUGUUGUUAAGGAAGCGGUACUUAACCAGAAAGGGACGGCUAACUACGUGCCAGCAGCGGCGGUAAUUC